rnacentral:tRNA from 13 species
ACCAUAGCUCAGUUGGUAGAGCAAAGGACUGAAAAUCCUUGUGUCCCCGGUUCGAUUCCUGGUGGUA